rnacentral:rRNA from 1 species
UACAGAGGCCCCGAGCGUUACUGAGAAUCACUGGGUUUAAAGGGUGCGUAGGUGGCGCGUUAAGUCCGUUGUGAAAUCCCUUGGCUCAACCAAGGAAAUGCUUCGGAUACUGGCGUGCUUGAGGCUAGUAGGGGUCACUGGAACUGACGGUGGAGCGGUGAAAUGCGUAGAUAUCGUCAGGAACGCCGAUGGUGAAGACAGGUGACUGGGCUAGUUCUGACACUGAGGCACGAAAGCGUGGGGAGCGAACGGGA